GACAGAGGGUGCAAACGUUGUUCGGAAUUACUGGGCGUAAAGCGCGUGUAGGCGGCAGCGCAAGUCGGAUGUGAAAUCCCAUGGCUCAACCAUGGAAGUGCACCCGAAACUGCGUCGCUAGAGUCCUGGAGGGGAAGGUGGAAUGCUUGGUGUAGAGGUGAAAUUCGUAGAUAUCAAGCGGAACACCGGUGGCGAAGGCGGCCUUCUGGACAGUGACUGACGCUGAGACGCGAAAGCGUGGGGAGCAAACAGG
rnacentral:rRNA from 1 species